rnacentral:rRNA from 1 species
UGCAAGUCGAACGGCAGCGCAGGGAGCUUAUAGCUCCCAGGCGGCGAGUGGCGGACGGGUGAGUAAUACGUAGGAAUCUACCUUAUAGUGGGGGAUAACCUGAGGAAACUCGGGCUAAUACCGCAUAAUCUACGUCUUUUUUUGGAUGGAGUAAAGUGGGGGAUCUUCGGACCUCGCGCUAUAAGAUGAGCCUAUGUCGGAUUAGCUUGUUGGUGAGGUAAUGGCUCACCAAGGCGACGAUCCGUAGCUGGUCUGAGAGGACGAUCAGCCACACUGGGACUGAGACACGGCCCAGACUCCUACGGGAGGCAG